rnacentral:rRNA from 1 species
CCCUGCCUUUUGUACACACCGCCCGUCGCUACUACCGAUUGAAUGGCUUAGUGAGGUCUUCGGAUUGGCUUUGGGGACCCGGAAACGGGACUCCGUUGCUGAGAAGUUGAUCAAACUUGGUCAUUUAG